UCCAAUUUCACACCAUCCCAAUGGGCCUAUCUCACAAAAAUCGGAAAUGACGUCACACCGGGUAAACAUUCUUCCGGCGUAGUCAUUUUUGUAUUGCCGUCAAUGCACAAAUGGAUCGUUUCUUCGCCACUUCCCUGGUGGGUUUUCCGAAAUUGCGAUUCGAAGAUGUGCAGAAGAUUGUGGAGACACACUCAGCAACACCACAGCCCAGGCUGUCAAAGGGGUACAAGUUUUUUGUGGAGGAGUUUGUACACAAUUAUCAAGAUCACCCUGGAGGCUGUUGGACAACUGGGUCUCUCAGAGCUGUAGCUUUGCUGCGGGCAAAGGCUUCUGUAGCCAUAUAACCGCUCUGCUGUUCCAGACAGCGCAUUAUGUGCAGCUGGGCCUUGAUGUGGUUCCACCUUCCCUGGCCUGUACCAGUCAACCACAGAUGUGGCAUCGACCUCGAACCCACGUGUGCUGUUGUGUCCUCUGUUCAAAUCAUACACUUCAGUAUUUGUCUAGAGUAUAUGAGCAUUUCCUGUAUUGUUGUUCGCCUCAGGGAAUCCAUCCAGAGGCUGUGAGUGACCUGGUGGUGAAGAAACCCAAGUCGGUGGGGAAGACUGGAGUCAAGUCCACACUCUACAGAGCGUAUGCUGAGGGAAUAUCCAGCUUGGAGUUGGUACCAUCUCAGCUGUGCUGACCUGGAAGAUGUCAGCAAUGACUUGUUCUUUAAGGCCAGUUGCUACUCUACAACAGUAGAUGAAAAACUCAUCAAUGGCUGGAAUCUUCCUUGAAGGGCUUGGUGUUGGAAUCGCCUCUUGUCCAAUCCUCUGUGCUUUGCUCCAAUAAAGAAUAUAUUGUGUUGAGGGGCAAAACAGACUCCCAAAACACUUGAAACACUUCUUGAGAUGGAAACCGAGUAUAAUAUGUCAUGGUCUGAUCAGACACACAAAAUCUGUUGAGGACAGUUUGUGGCCCCAUGGACAUUUCUUGCAGCCUUGCCUCCAGCUCAGCAAUAUACUCCAGGGCAUCAUCCAGUGCACCUACAAAAAAAGAAGACAAAUCAGUCUUCAUUACCAUUC